rnacentral:rRNA from 2 species
GGCGGUAUGCUUAACACAUGCAAGUCGAACGAAAGUUUUUAACUUUAGUGGCGAACGGGUGCGUAAUACGUGAGAAUCUGCCCUUAGGAGGAGUAUAACUGCUGGAAACGGCUGCUAACACUCCAUAUGUCGAGAGAUGAAAUAAUUUAUUGCCUAAGGAUGAGCUCGCGCCUGAUUAGCUAGUUGGUGAGGUAAUGGCUCACCAAGGCCACGAUCAGUAGCUGGUUUGAGAGAACGAUCAGCCACACUGGGACUGAGACACGGCCCAGACUCCUCCGGGAGGCAGCAGUGAGGAAUUUUCCGCAAUGGGCGAAAGCCUGACGGAGCAAUACCGCGUGAGGGAUGAAGGAUUUUGGUCUGUAAACCUCUUUUCUCAAGAAAGAAGUUCUGACGGUACUUGAGGAAUAAGCAUCGGCUAACUCCGUGCCAGCAGCCGCGGUAAUACGGGGGAUGCAAGCGUUAUCCGGAAUCAUUGGGCGUAAAGCGCCUGUAGGUUGUUUAAUAAGUCUGUUGUUAAAGACUAGGGCUCAACCCUAGAAAAGCAAUGGAAACUGUUAGACUAGAGUAUGGCAGGGGUAGAGGGAAUUUCUAGUGUAGCGGUGAAAUGCGUAGAUAUUAGAAAGAACACCGGUGGCGAAAGCGCUCUACUGGACCAUUACUGACACUCAGAGGCGAAAGCUAGGGUAGCAAGAGGGAUUAGAUACCCCUGUAGUCCUAGCCGUAAACGAUGGAUACUAGAUGUUGUAUGUUAUUUACAGUAUCGUAGCUAACGCGUUAAGUAUCCCGCCUGGGGAGUACGCUCGCAAGGGUGAAACUCAAAGGAAUUGACGGGGGCCCGCACAAGCGGUGGAGCAUGUGGUUUAAUUCGAUGCAACGCGAAGAACCUUACCAGGGCUUGACAUACUACAGAUUCUUUUGAGAGAGAGAAGUGCCUUCGGGAAUGUAGAUACAGGUGGUGCAUGGCUGUCGUCAGCUCGUGUCGUGAGAUGUUGGGUUAAGUCCCGCAACGAGCGCAACCCACGUUUUUAGUUGCCAGCAUUUAGUUGGGCACUCUAGAAAGACCGCCGGUGAUAAACCGGAGGAAGGUGUGGAUGACGUCAAGUCAUCAUGCCCCUUACACCCUGGGCUACACACGUACUACAAUGCUACGGACAAAGGGCAGCAAACUCGCGAGAGCUAGCAAAUCCCAU